rnacentral:rRNA from 1 species
UGGGGAAUAUUGCGCAAUGGGGGAAACCCUGACGCAGCGACGCCGCGUGCGGGAUGAAGGCCUUCGGGUUGUAAACCGCUUUUGAUUGGGAGCAAGCUUUCGGGUGAGUGUACCUUUCGAAUAAGGACCGGCUAAUUCCGUGCCAGCAGCCGCGGUAAUACGGAAGGUUCGGGCGUUAUCCGGAUUUAUUGGGUUUAAAGGGAGCGUAGGCCGUUUGGUAAGCGUGUUGUGAAAUGUAGGAGCUCAACUUCUAGAUUGCAGCGCGAACUGUCAGACUUGAGUGCGCACAACGUAGGCGGAAUUCAUGGUGUAGCGGUGAAAUGCUUAGAUAUCAUGAAGAACUCCGAUUGCGAAGGCAGCUUACGGGAGCGCAACUGACGCUGAAGCUCGAAGGUGCGGGUAUCGAACAGG